rnacentral:rRNA from 1 species
GAUGAACGCUGGCGGCGUGCCUAAUACAUGCAAGUCGAGCGAACAGACGAGGAGCUUGCUCCUCUGACGUUAGCGGCGGACGGGUGAGUAACACGUGGAUAACCUACCUAUAAGACUGGGAUAACUUCGGGAAACCGGAGCUAAUACCGGAUAAUAUAUUGAACCGCAUGGUUCAAUAGUGAAAGACGGUUUUGCUGUCACUUAUAGAUGGAUCCGCGCCGCAUUAGCUAGUUGGUAAGGUAACGGCUUACCAAGGCAACGAUGCGUAGCCGACCUGAGAGGGUGAUCGGCCACACUGGAACUGAGACACGGUCCAGACUCCUACGGGAGGCAGCAGUAGGGAAUCUUCCGCAAUGGGCGAAAGCCUGACGGAGCAACGCCGCGUGAGUGAUGAAGGCCCUCGGAUCGUAAAACUCUGUUAUUAGGGAAGAACAAAUGUGUAAGUAACUAUGCACGUCUUGACGGUACCUAAUCAGAAAGCCACGGCUAACUACGUG